rnacentral:lncRNA from 1 species
UCUCGUUUCAACCUUCUCAGGGUAUUGGCCAUCUUCAAUGAAAAUGUAAGUUGUCAGUCAUUUCCACUAGUGAUUACAAAGUUAUUUCAUUUGAGAUAUCUCCAAUUUCCAUUUCACAACGAUAUUCCUGACUCAAUCUCGGAGCUUCAGAAUUUGCAAACUCUAAUUUGUGGCAGGGAUGCCAAAUUUAGUGGUUAUCCUUUAGAUAGAAGUUAUUCUUUACCUGGGAAGAUAUGGAUGAUGAAGAACUUGAGGUAUAUUCGUAUGAAGGGACUCCUUUUUUUAUCCAGUCCUAGAACAGAAAGUCUUCUGACAGGGAUGCCAAAUCUAGAGGAAUUUUCUAUUCUUUGUUCCACCAGUUGUACAAAUGAAGUCUUCUCUGGCAUUCCCAAUCUAAAGAGGUUGAUCAUUCAUCUACCAUAUGAAAUAAAUGAAAUUUUCAAUCGGCAAUUGGAUAUGUCCAGAUUGAUAAAACUCGAAGCAUUCAAGUUUUAUGGGUCAACUUUUUUUCGACACCCCAUCAAGAGAAUUGGUUUUCCAACAUCACUUAGGAGGUUGUCUUUAACUCUGUGUAGUGAUUUUGAUUGGGUAGACAUAUCCUCAACUUCUAUGAUGUUGCCAAAUCUUGAAGAGCUCAAACUUAAACGUUGUCUAACCUUUAGUCGUAAAUGGAGAUUGAGUGAUGAAAACAAGUUCAAAAGCUUGAAGUUGUUGCUACUGAGUGGCGCAAAUCUUAUUCAUUGGGAAGCUAGCAGUAAUAACUUCCCAAAUCUAAAAUGCCUUGUUCUGAAGGGCUGCCACACACUGCUAGAAAUUCCAGCAGAUUUUGGGGAUAUUUGUACUUUGAAAUCAAUUGAAUUACAUGAUUGCCCCCCUCGUGUUGAGGAUUCUGCAAGAAAUAUUGUACAAGAACAAGAGGAUAUGGGAAAUAAUUUCCUUAAGGUCUACAUCAUUCAUAACAAUUACUGUAACUUCUAAACAGUUCUUCGAUUCUCCCAUCUUUGCUUCUGAUAGGAAUGUCAGAGAGUAGAUGUAUAGUGUAUAAUCUCCAUGAUGUCUUGGGGAAUGAUACGUAGACGAUGAAUGAGAUUCUUUUACUUUUUGUGAACUUUGACUUCUUUUUUAUCGUAUACUAUUGAUGUUGAAACUCAUUGCAAUUAUACAUUAAGCAAGUACAUACAUUGGCGUAAAGUCCCCAUCUCUUGAGGUAGAAAAAGUUUGAUGCAAAUGUUGGUUAUUUGACGAAAAGAGAAUAAUAUUGUGCCAUUUUCUAAGAAACAGAGGUGUCUACCCUUUGCUAUGAUACUAUAUACCAUUUGUUCUACACAAAAGUCUACUUUUUUGUAAGCCAAUUUUCUUACAUAGGUAAAGGCGGAGCUACAAUCAUAGAAGAGUGGUGGAGCUAGGAUUUCUACCUGAAAAUUAUAUUGAACAUUCUUCACUUAAAAGUUAUGUUGUGUAGCUCAAACAAAGGCACGCAGAGGAACUUGCUUCUUUAAGUUAGCCUUUUAGAGGAACAAACAAGGAACAAAGUGAUUGUUUUCAAUUAGUAGCGGAGCCAGGAUUUUUAUUAAGAAAGUUCAAAACAUGAACAAGUAAACAAACACAACAAGUCAAUGAGGUUCAACGUUUAUUAUAUAUUAGUCUUUCGACACGCGCUUUUUGUGUGUACCCCAUAUUUGCUAUACAAUCUAUUUGUUAUUUUAUGACAUUAUCGUUAAAAAAACUUUAAUAUAAUGUCAACUUGGACAUUAUUUAUGAUCUCAAAUGACCAAUUCUGACAACUCAAGCAUUAGGGCUACUAAUGUCACAAUGAUUAACAAUAUGACCAAUUCUGCAACUGACCAUUCUUGAGACACUAUGAGUUCUUCUUUGUUACAACCUGUGGGAUUAAAAUUGGAAAAAGGCAUAAGUAGCCCCUUCAAUUAUGAUCGAAAUUUCAGGAACACACUUUAUUUUUCAUAUUACCCCUAAACUUCUUCUUUUUCUGUAUUGCUUUGCACCUUAUGUGCAGACGUGGAGCCACAACCUAAUUUAAUUAGUUCCAGUGAUAUACAUGCGCCUCCACGUGUAUAUAUGUUUUUUUAGAAAAAAAAUCUUUAAAAAUUUCUUAUCUUUUUUCUAUUUCUUUUAUUUUCUUUACAUUUUUUUUAUAUUUGAUUUCAAGUAUCUUGUACUUAAAAUAAGUUAAUUUUGGAUAUAUACCAAAAAAAAAUGAAUAAAAUCACAUAAAAAUAGGGAAAAUGGUCUGAUAUAGCCCUCAACUUUGUGAUAAACCCCGUUAUGAAAGUGGCUAAUAUAUACAUGUUAUGAAAGUGACUCAUAUAUACCCUUAUUGUUAUACAAAUGACUCACAUAUACCCUAUUAAAACGUUAAAAAAAUUCUCAUGUAUUGACAUAUAAACCGUAUUUACAUCCAAGUGUAACUUUAGACUUGAUUUCCUCGAAAUUUCUUUGGGAGCAAUUUCAAUGUAGUUUCUGCUGUCAAUUCACAGAACAACGUUUUGAAAAAAAAAUUGGGAGCAAUUUCGCGGUAGUUUCUACUGUUAACUCUAAGUACUACUAUUUGAAAUUUUUUUGGGACUGUCAAUUCGAAGUACAACGUUUUGAAACUUUUUUAUACAACAAGUUUCUAUAAAUACAACAAGUCUCUACUCCUUGAAGAAUUAUUUUGUUUCAAUUCCUUUCCAUAUUGACUUAAUGGCAGCCUAUACUGCUGUAAUUUCUCUUCUUCAAACUCUUGACCAACGAAAUCCACAACUCUUUCAUGGUCACACUGCUGAAGCGCUCGAUUCUCUUCAUGCUACUGCCGAAUAUUUCCAAAACGUUCUUGAAAAUGCUAGCAAGAGUAGAUUUGACACUGAAAAGAUCAAAUCUUUGGAGGAAAAAAUUAGAGUUGCUGCUAGUUAUGCAGAAGAUGUUCUUGAGCUGAAAAGUUCUCGAAUUGUCAAAGUCUCGAGGUGGAAAUUUGGAAUUUCACAACACCUGGAUUUGCUAAAAGCUGUUAAAAAAUGGAUACAACAAAGGAACAAGUGAUAAAGAUUGUUUCUCAUGAUACUGAUCAAGUUCUCGAAUUAUCCGGGGAUUCCUUGAUUGGCACUUCUUCUACAAGUUACACAAUGCUGGAAAAUGAUGUCGUGAACGGACUCGAUGGUAAUUUGGAGAUCAUAGUUAAUAGGUUGAAAGGACGACCACGGGAUCUAGACGUUGUCACAAUAACAGGCAUGGGAGGCAUUGGCAAAACAACACUUGCUAAAAAAGCUUAUGAUCAUCUCACAAUCAGGCAUCACUUUGACAUUCUUGCUUGGGUUACAAUAUCUCAAGAAUUUCGACCUAGAAAUGUAUUGUUAGAAGCUUUAAACAGCAUUUCAAAGCAAACAGAUAUUGUGAACGCAAAAAAUUAUGAUAAGAUGGAUGACAAUGAGUUAGCUGACCUGGUGCAAAAGAACCUAAAAGGUCGAAGAUACCUUGUUGUUGUUGAUGAUUUUUGGAGUAGGGAUGUUUGGGAUAGUAUACGUAGAAUAUUUCCUAAUUACAAUAAUGGAAGUCGAAUCUUAUUGACUACUAGGGAAAACGAGGUAGCAAUGUAUGCAAAUACUUGUAGCCCUCAUGAGAUGAAACUUUUGAGUUUAGAAAACGGUUGGAAGUUACUUUGUGAUAAGGUGUUUGGACCAAAACAUGAUCAUCCUCCUGCAUUGGAAGAAAUUGGAAAGGAAAUAGUAGAAAAAUGCCAAGGACUACCCUUAACGAUUUCAGUGAUUGCGGGACAUCUCUCUAAAGUGGCCAGGACAUUAGAGGGUUGGAAGGAUGUUGCCCGAACCUUAAGUGAAAACAUUGCUAGUAAUCCAAAUAAAUGCUUAGGAGUGCUCGGUUUGAGUUACUAUCACUUGCCUAAUCGCCUCAAGCCUUGUUUUCUUUCUAUGAGUAGUUUCCCAGAGGACUUUCAGGUUGAUACUCGGAGAUUGAUCCAAUUAUGGAUUGCAGAAGGUUUCAUAAGGACAUCUGUUGGAAGUCGUAAAAGCUUGGAGUAAGUGGCAUAACAUUAUUUGGAAGACCUUAUUAGCAGGAACUUGAUACAAGCUAGAAAAAGGAGAUUCAAUGGUGAGAUAAAAGCAUGUGGAGUACAUGAUCUACUGCGUGAGUUCUGUUUGAUAGAAGCUGAAAUGACAAAGCAUAUGCAUGUUCAGAGAACUCACCCUAUUCUUCCAACACAAAAGCAUAAUGUUCGUCGCUUCAGUUGUCAAACCUUAUCUUAUUCAGUUGAAAAUUGUUUUAAGGUAUUACCCCCUGUGGCCAGAUCUAUCCACUUAUUUUCUCGAUUACACCUACUUCAUAAACCCCGUCAUAAGCUUCUCGGCACAUGUCCCAUCUACCAUCGUAAUCCUAUAAUACAUGAAUUUUUCUCUCGUUUCAACCUUCUAAGGGUAUUGGCCAUCUUCAAUACAAUUGGAUACUUCGAAUCAUUUCCACUUGUGAUUACAGAGUUGUUUCAUUUGAGAUAUCUCCAAGUUCCAUUUUACGCAGAUAUUCCUGAAUCAAUCUCAGAGCUUCAGAAUUUGCAAACUCUAAUUUGUAGUGGUAAUUAUUUUGAUAUAACUUUACCUGAGAACAUAUGGAUGAUGAAGAACUUGCGGUAUAUACGUCUGAAGGGACCCUCUUAUUUACCCAGUCCUAGAACAGAAAGUCUUGUGACAGGGAUGCCAAAUCUAGAGGAACUUUCUAUUCUUUGUUACACGAGUUGUACAAAUGAAGUCUUUUCUGGCAUUUCCAAUCUAAAGAGAUUGAUCAUUUCUCUACCUUUUAACAAUACAAAGUUUCCCUAUCGGCUAUUGGAUAUGUCCAGUUUGACAAAACUCGAAGCAUUCAAGUUUUACGGGUCACCUUAUUUGGGAAACCCCAUCAAGAAAUUUGGUUUUCCAACAUCACUUAAGAGGUUGAGUUUAAGCAAGUGUAAUCAUUUUGUUUGGGCAGACAUAUCAUCAACUGUUAUGAUGUUGCCAAAUCUUGAAGAGCUCAAACUUAAACAUUGUCGAACCUUGAAUGAUGAAUGGAGAUUGAGUGAUGAAGACAAGUUCAAAAGCAUGAAGUUGUUGUUACUGAGCAAACUAAAUCUUGAGCAUUGGGAAGCUAGCAGUGAUAACUUCCCAAAUCUAUAACGCCUUGUUCUGAAGAAUUGCAACAAGAUGCAAGAAAUUCCA